ensembl:lncRNA
AUGGUGGAUGUUUCAGCAGGACUCAUGAUUGUGGAAGUCUCUUUUGUAGUAGAUGUUUCUGCUUCACUAGUGGUGGAUAUUUCAGGUGUAGUUGUGAUUGUUAAAGUCUCUAAUGUUGUAGAUGUUUCUGCUACAAUGAUAGUAGAGGUUUCAGCUGGAAUUGUUGUGAUUGUGGAAGUCUCUGUUGUUGUAGAUGUUUCUACUUCACUAGUGGUGGAUGUUUCAGGAGGUGUCGUUAUUGUGGAAGUUUCUUCUGAAGUAGAUGUUUCUGCUUCAGUAGUGGUUGAUGUUUCAGCAGGCGUAGUGAUUGUGGAAGUCUCUGUUGUUUUAGAUGUUUCUGCUACACUAAUGGUGGAUGUUUCAGCAGGACUCAUGAUUGUGGAAGUCUCUUUUGUAGUAGAUGUUUCUGCUUCACUAGUGGUGGAUAUUUCAGGUGUAGUUGUGAUUGUUAAAGUCUCUAAUGUGGUAGAUGUUUCUGCUAAAAUGAUAGUGGAUGUUUCAGCUGGAAUUGUUGUGAUUGUGGAACUCUCUGUUGUUGUAGAUGUUUCUGCUACACUGAUAAUAGAGGUUUCAGCAGGAAUUGUUGUGAUUGUGGAAGUAUCUGUUCUGGCAGAUGUUUCUACUUCACUAAUUGUGGAUGUUUCAAUGGCAGUUGUUGUGAGUGUGGAAGUCUCUGUUGUUGUAGAUGUUUCUGCUACACUGAUAGUAGAGGCUUCAGCAGGAAUUGUUGAGAUUGUGGAAGUAACUAUUGGUGUAGAUGUUCCUGCAGCACUAGUGGUGGAUAUUUCAGCAGGAAUUGUUGUGAUUUUGGAAGUCUCUGUUGUUGACGACGUAUCUGUAGCACUAGUGGUAAAUGUUUCAGCAGGAAUUGUUGUGAUUGUGGAAGUAUCUGUUCUUGUAGAUGUUUCUACUGGCCUAAUUGUGGAUGUUUUAACCACAGUUGUUGUGAGUGUGGAAGUCUCUGUUGUUGAAGAUAUUUCUGCUUCACUAGUGGUGGAUAUUUCAGCAGGUGUCGUUUUUGUGGAAGUCUCUUUUGUAGUAGAUGUUUCUGCUACACUGAUACUAGAGGUUUCCACAGCAAUUGUUGUAAUUGUGGAAGUCUCUGUUGUUGUAGAUGUUUCUGCUGCACUAGUGGUGGAUGUUUUAGCAGGAGUGGCUGUGAGUGUGGAUGUCUCUGUUGUUGUAGAUGUUUCUGCUAAACUAAAAGUGGAUGUUUCAACUGGAUUUGUUAUGAUUGUGGAAAUCUCUGUUGUUGUAGAUGUUUCUACUUCAAUAGUGUUGGAAGUUUCAGGAGGUGUCGGUAUUGUGGAAGUCUCUGUGCUUGUAGAUGUUUCUGAUGCAUUAGUGGUGGAUGAUUCGGCAGGAUUUGUUGUGAUUGUGGAAGUCUCUUUUGACGUAGAUGUUUCUGCUUCAGUAGUGGUUGAUGUUUCGGCAGGAGUAGUGAUUGUGGAAGUCUCUGUUGCUGUAGAUGUUUCUGCUGCACUAGUGGUGGAUGUUUCAGCAGGUGUCAUUUUUGUGGAAGUCUCUGUUGCUGAAGAUGUUUCUGCUGUACUAGUAGUGGAUGUUUCUGCUGGAAUUAUUGUGAUUGUUGAAGUCUCUGUUGUAGAUUUUUCUGCUGCACUGACAGUGGAUGUUCCAGCUGGAAUUGUUGUGAUUGUGGAACUCUCUGUUGUUGUAGUUGUUUCUGAUACACUGAUAGUAGAGGUUUCAGCAGGAAUUGUUGUGAUUGUGGAAGUGUCUGUUGUUGAAGACGUUUCUGCGUCACUAGUGGUGGAUGUUUCAGCAGGAAUUGUUGUAAUUGUGGAAGUAUCUCUUCUUGUAGAUGUUUCUGCUGCACUAAUUGUGGAUGUUUCAACCGCAGUUGUUGUCAAUGUGGAAGUCUCUGUUGUUGAAGAUAUUUCUGCUACACUAAUGGUGGAUGUUUCAGCAGGACUCGUGAUUGUGGAAGUCUCUUUUGUAGUAGGUUUUCCUGCUUCACUAGUGGAGGAUAUUUCAGGUGUAGUUGUGAUUGUUGAAGGCUCUGUUGUUGUAGAUGUUACUGCUAAACUGAUAUUGGAUGUUUCAGCUGAAAUUGUUGUGACUGUGGAAGUCUCUAUUGUAGUAUAUGUUUCUGCUACAAUGAUAGUAGAGGUCUCAGCUGGAAUUGUUGUGAUUGUGGAAGUCUCUGUUGUAGAUGUUUCUGCUGCACUAGUGGUGGAUGUUUCUGCUGCAGUUGUUGUGAUUGUGGAAGUCUCUGUUGUAGAUGUUUCUGCUGCACUAGUGGUGGAUGUUUCAGAAGGAGUUGUUGUGAUUGUGUAAGUCUCUGUUGUUGUAAAUGUUUCUGCAGCACUAGUGGUGGAUGUUUCAGCAGGAAUUGUUGUGAUGGUGGAUAUCUGUGUAGUAGAUUUUUCUGCUGCACUAGUAGUGGAUGUUUCAGCAGGAGUUGUUGUUGUGGAAGUCUCUGUUGUAGUAGAUGUUUCAUUUGCAAUGGUGGUGGGUGUUUCAGCAGGUGUUGUUGUGAUUGUGGAAGUCUCUGUUGUUAAAGAUGUUUCUGCUGCACUACUGGUGGAUGUUUCAGCAGGAGUAGUUAUUGUAGAAGUCUCUGUUGUUGUAAAUGUUUCUGCAGCACCAGUAGUGGAUGUUUCAACAGGAGUCGUGAUUGUGGAAGUCUCUGUUGUUGUAAAUGUUUCUGCAGCACUAGUGGUGGAUGUUUCAGCAGGAGUCGUGAUUGUGGAAGUCUCCAUUGUUGUAGAUGUUUCUGCUACACUGAUAGUAGAGGUUUCAGCAGGAAUUGUUGUGAUUGUGGAAGUCUCUGUUGUUGAAGAUAUUUCUGCUACACUAACGGAGGAUGUUUCAGCAGGAGUCCUGAUUGUGGAUGUUUCUUUUGUAGUAGAUAUUUCUGCCUCACUAGGGGUGGAUAUUUCAGGUGUAGUUGAUUUGAUUGUGGAAGUCUCUUUUGUUGUAGAUGUUUCUGCUUCACUGAUAGUAGAUAUUUCAGCAGGAGUAGUGAUUAUGGAAGUCUCUGUUGUUGUAGAUGUUUCUGCUGCACUAGUAGUGGAUGUUUCAGCUGGAAUUAUUGUGAUUGUUGAAGUCUCUGUUGUAGAUAUUUCUGCUGCACUGAUAGUGGAUGUUUCAGCUGGAAUUGUUGUGAUUGUGGAACUCUCUGUUGUUGUAGAUGUUUGUGUUACAUUGAUAGUAGAGGUUUCAGCAGGAAUUGUUGUGAUUGUGGAAGUCUCUGUUGUUGAAGACGUUUCUGCAGCACUAGUGGUGGAUGUUUCAGCAGGAAUUUUUGUGAUGGUGGAUAUCUGUGUAGUAUAUU